rnacentral:rRNA from 1 species
GACGAACGCUGGCGGUAUGCUUAACACAUGCAAGUCGAACGAGAAGGUUUUGAUGGAUCCUUCGGGUGACAUCAGAACUGGAAAGUGGCGAACGGGUGAGUAACGCGUGGGUAACCUGCCCUAUGGAAAGGAAUAGCCUCGGGAAACUGGGAGUAAAGCCUUAUAUUAUGGUUUUGUCGCAUGGCAAGAUCAUGAAAACUCCGGUGCCAUAGGAUGGACCCGCGUCCCAUUAGCUAGUUGGUGAGAUAACAGCCCACCAAGGCGACGAUGGGUAACCGGUCUGAGAGGGCGAACGGUCACACUGGAACUGAGACACGGUCCAGACUCCUACGGGAGGCAGCAGUGGGGAAUAUUGCGCAAUGGGGGCAACCCUGACGCAACAAUACCGCGUGAGUGAAGAAGGUUUUCGGAUCGUAAAGCUCUGUUAUUGGGGAAGAAGAAUGACGGUACCCAAUGAGGAAGUCCCGGCUAACUACGUGCCAGCCGCCGCAGAAA